rnacentral:rRNA from 1 species
UACGUAGUUGACCAGCGUUGUCCGGAUUUACUGGGCGGAAAGAGCGCGCAGGCGGUCGUUCAAGUCGAGUGUGAAAGCCCCCGGCUCAACUGGGGAGGGUCACGCGAUACUGAUCGACUCGAAGGCAGGAGAGGGUAGUGGAAUUCCCGGUGUAGUGGUGAAAUGCGUAGAUAUCGGGAGGAACACCAGUGGCGAAGGCGACUACCUGGCCUGUUCUUGACGCUGAGGCGCGAAAGCUAGGGGAGCAAACGGG